rnacentral:rRNA from 2 species
GUGCGAGACCGAUAGCGAACAAGUACCGUGAGGGAAAGAUGAAAAGAACUUUGAAAAGAGAGUUAAAGAGUACCUGAAACUGCUGAAAGGGAAGCGAAUCGUAUCCAGUGUCUAUAAUCUGCGGCAUAUUUCAUUGGCGGCGGUGCGCGUGCUUUUGCGUCGGAAGCGGCUUUUGUUGCUCUGUGCUUUUGCUGUGCGUGGUGUUGCUGGUGCCCUGUGUUGCGGUGGGACGUCAGAGUCAGUUUGUACGCUGCGGGAAAUGGCUGCCGAGGAGGUAGGUCGAGAUUUCGGCCUUGGCUGUUAUAUCUUGGUGGUUUGUUGUCGUGGUUGAGACUGAGGUGCCUACAAUGUGCUUUUGAGUGUACCGGGUUCUCAUUUGGUGGACUGUUUGGAUAGCUUGCUAUGCUUGUGGUUUUUUCAUCGGGUGAUUGAGUCUGGUGGUAACUUGUUGCUGUUCGGGACUUUGA